UGUGGAUAUAUCACGUUGAAACACCUGUUCUCGUCCGAUCACCGAAGUUAAGGAACGUCGAGCCUUGUCAGUACCGAGAUGUAUAACCGCCUGGGAAUACCAGCUGCUGUAAG